rnacentral:rRNA from 1 species
CCUACGGGUGGCAGCAGUGAGGAAUAUUGGUCAAUGGACGAGAGUCUGAACCAGCCAAGUAGCGUGAAGGAUGACUGCCCUAUGGGUUGUAAACUUCUUUUAUAAAGGAAUAAAACGAGGCACGUGUGCCUUUUUGCAUGUACUUUAUGAAUAAGGAUCGGCUAACUCCGUGCAAGCAGCCGCGGUAAUACGGAGGAUCCGAGCGUUAUCCGGAUUUAUUGGGUUUAAAGGGAGCGUAGAUGGGUUGUUAAGUCAGUUGUGAAAGUUUGCGGCUCAACCGUAAAAUUGCAAUUGAUACUGGCAGUCUUGAGUACAGUUGAGGUAGGCGGAAUUCGUGGUGUAGCGGUGAAAUGCUAGAUAUCACGAAGAACCCCGAUUGCGAAGGCAGCUUACUAAACUGUGACUGACAUUGAUGCUCGAAAGUGUGGGUAUCAAACAGGAUUAGAUACCCGUGUAGUC